rnacentral:lncRNA from 1 species
AAUUUGCACUAAAAUAAAAAGUGUUUACAAAUAUGGUAUGAAAUUGAGAGAACAAAAGAAGAUCUAGCACUAUACUACCUACCAACUAGGAAAAGACUAGGUUAAAAAGAUUGUCAUUACAAGUAAAGGAGGUGGGGGUAUUUAUAGCUAGAAAUGUAGGGUUUAGGGGUAGGGUGGCUAAAUCUAAUCCAUCCAUGUGUGAUGUGUGUUGGGUAAAUCAUAGCCAUCCAUGUGCCCCCUUGCUUGCCAACUCUCUUUGAUUUUCUUCUUUUCUUUUCUUUUUCUUUCUUUUUCUUGCAUUUUCUCUUCUUUCUUUAUUUAUCUACAAUUUCCUGAAAUAAAAUAAAUAAGCGAUUAAUACUACGAAAAUAAACAAAAGAUAGGCACUUAAAUAUGCAAAAAUAUGGACUAAUCAAACUUCCCCAUACCUAUCUUUUGCUCGUCCUCGAGUAAAAAUCAAAAGAAAAGAAAAUAAACUAAGAAAACUAGAUGCGAUUCCUAGGCUCCUUUUCGUAGGCGUGACGGGUGAUUUUAGGUUCACCAACCCGUUAAACUCGUAGACGAUCUCUACAAGAGGAGUUUUGUCUCCUAAGGGUUUACAGAAGAUAUACCCAUAAAAUCUUCGAGACAUUCUAGCAAGUGUCUACUCGACUCUACUCCAAUUUCGCCGGUGUUAACAAAAAGCGUUUUUAAGGAAAAUACGACUCAAAGACUCUUUUACUAAUAAUCAAGAAACAGUUGUCUCUAAUCUACUUGCAUCGACACAAAAAUUUACUAGAAAUCCAAGGAGUGUAAGUAAUUUAAGGCCUUUGAUGGAUCCUAAUCGUCUAGGAACAUUUUCUCUUUUUCAACCAAUAUCGAACUGACCCAAUCUCUAUCGAAACAAAUAUCUAGCCAAACUUCACAAACUCUUAUUCUCUUUUCUUUUUUUUUGUCUCUUUUUUUUUUGCAUUGACUUUAUUUUGUCCGUUUUCUUAGGCAAACAAUGUUACCCAUAUAGCGAGCUUUAGGUCAGUGACUCCCAAACCAAACGGUCUUAGGGCACUAGGUUUUGAAAUCCCCCUACGGACUUAAUAACUCGAGUAACAAAGGCCACAAAACGAGACUAGCCAAUCUACUUUUGCCCAUUUAUCUAAAGAUUUUAUCUAUAAAGAACAAUGGGUAUUGAAGUAGUUAUUCCUUUUCUUUUUCUAUCUCUUUUUUUCUUUUUCUAUUUUUUUUUAUUCGCAAAGGUUCGAUUCGACAUUGUUUCAACAUGUGGGUUCUCUCUCAGGUAUCGAACAAUAUCACUACACAAUCUCUCCAUCAAAGGUCUUGUGCAAAUGUGUGUGCCAUCUUGGAAUUACGAGUACAAAUCGGUCGAUACAAGUUUCAGAAAGACAACCUUACUCAACUACGUUCAAAUUAUCUAAAAGACACUACAUAUAUAUACUUUUCGAAAACAUGCUAACACCAACUACUCCUAAAGUUCGAGUGAGGGAAAGACAACUUAGCUAAAAGUGUCUCUAUUUUUGGAUUUUUCUAAUUUUUCAAUUUUUAGGGUUUUCAUUUUUUUAGAAUUACACUAAAGCCCUCCCCAUACCUAAAUCAUGCAUUGUCCUCAAUGUAUGCAAAAGAGAGAAUCGAAAUGAGAGAGUAAAGAGAAAAAUACCUGAAAUGGAUAUGAAGGGGAUUUUUAUGAACUACUAAAACACUUACACGACCCACGCACUCACACAUCUCCUUCCCCAUACCUGAACUUCAUGAGGGAAGGUUCAAAGACGGAAGCGAAUCAGCCAAUUCCGGAAGGAAAGAUGGGAGGGAGCUUCGAGAAAGAGUCAAAAUGUUUUCGAAAAUUUUUAUGCACAAAGACUUUCUCUAGAAUGCGACAAUCGUUCAUCCCUAUAGGACAAGUAUCACUAAUGUUCUCCCUAAACCAACUUAAUGCUUCUUUAUUAUCAAGCAAAUUAGAGACUAUGCAAUUUUGGUCAUAGGAUAAAUCACUAGGAACGAUGUAAGAAAUGAUGUCAUCCUUUCCUAAGGCGCUAUGCGAAUGAUGGAACAACGAGUCAAAUGUCGGUAAUUCACCUACAUGACUCUCUAAAUCGGGCCUAGGGUCAACACGAACAAUCUCGGGUGGAGUUUCCCAUUUUGAACAAAUGUCGUUCAAUUCUCCUAACAACUCCUCCGAGGUCAACUCUUUCAACGACUCAUGAUAUUCCCUAUUGUUCUCGUUGUUGACUUUGAAAUCCUCGUUGAGAAGAGACUCAAUCUCACUAUCCUCAAAACUAGACCAUGUGACAAACUUGUUGACCACAUUAACCCCUAUAGGUUGCUCAUAAAGCUCAUUGGGUUCUUUUCCUACAUUGAAAAUGUUUAAGUCUAUGGUCAUGUUUCCAAAAGUGAGCUUCAUUGAACCAUUCCUACAAUUGAUUAAGGCAUUGGAUGUAGCAAGAAAAGGUCGUCCUAAAAUGAUAGGAAUUUGGUUCUUAGGAUUCGAGACGGGUUGAGUCUCGAGAACAACAAAGUCAACGGGAAAGAUAAAAUCACCGAUUUUGAUCAACACAUCCUCAAUAAUCCCCUUAGGCAUUUUAAUAGAACGAUCGGCAAGUUGAAGGGUCAUAUUGGUGGUCUUGAGAUCCCCUAAACCUAGGGCUUGGUAGACCGAGAAAGGAAGAAGAUUCACACUCGCUCCUAAAUCAAGUAAAGCUUUAUCCACAAAAGUAUUGCCUAUGACACAAGAAAUUGUAGGACAACCGGGGUCCUUAUAUUUCACGGGAAUUUGAUUCGAGAGAAUCGAGCUAACUUGUGAGGUCAAAAAGGCUUUCUUUGGAACAUGAGUGGUUCUCUUAUGGGUACACAAAUCUUUUAGACACUUGGCAUAAGAAGGAACUUGUUGAAUGGCAUCUAAAAGAGGAAUGUUUAUCUUGACUUGUUUGAAAACCUCUAGAAUUUGUUCCAUUUGGGCCGAUUGUUUAGGGCGAAUGAGUCUUUGUGGGUAAGGAACCCUUGGCUUGUAAACUUCUUCGUUGGGCUUUUGAGAAAUGGGCCCAGGACUAGGUUCACUCAUAGACUCACGGACUCUAGAACAUUCGGGCUUAUCAUGAUUAGUGCUAGACAAAGAAGGAUUUGUUUUAGGAAUCGACUCCUCAUUUUCAUUAACGUUCUCACCAACUUUGUUAUCCACUUGAUUUCCCGACCUUAGAGAAAUAAUCGCAUUAACAUUCUCGGGAGGUCUUUGAUUGAGAGGAAACUUAGGAUUGACCUCGGGUUGACUUGGCAACUUGUUCUUCUCUCGCUCACACAACGCGCUAGCUAAUUGACUCAAUUGGGCCUCUAACUUAGACACGGCUUGCACAUUAGAAUGCAAAAUUUGCCUAUCUUGGGUUAGGGUUGUCAUGAAGGUUUGUUGUGAUUGAGUCAAAUUAGUUUGCGAUUUAACUAAGGCUUCCAAACUCUUUUCUAAAGAAUUGAGGCGUUUAUCCGAAUCAUUGAAACCGGGAGGAUUCAAAGGAGUUUGAAUUGGGUUAUGACAUGAAUUUGGACCUUGAUUUGGGUAAGAGUUUGGGUUGGGCCUUUGUUGAAAAUUUUGUUGAGGAGUUGGAAAAGAAUUUGGCCCUUGAUUCAUUUGAAAAUUGGGUUGAGGAACUUGACAAUUUUGACCUUGGGUCCAUGAGAAAUUUGGGUGAUUUCUCCACCCGGGAUUAUAAGUGGGUGCAAACGCAUCAUUCCUAGAAUUUUGAAACAUCGCAUUUACUUGUUCAAGUUCGUGCGAAGGUUGGGUUCCGGGAUUUUGAAAAUUGUAAUUAGGGAGCAUCGACAUUUGUGGGGGAGAUUUACUAGUUUCUAAAGCUUCAAGCCUCCUAGUUAGGGUGGCUAGUUUGGCAUCGAUUGCCACAUUAUUUCCUAUCGAAUGCAAGCCCCUAGCGCUAGAUGACUGAAUUGACUUUUUGGGCUCCCUAGUUGACUCCCACAUCAUAGUCUUUUCCGCUAAAUCCUCGAAAAAUUCCCACCCUUGGUCCUCAUCUUUUUCCAUGAAUUUACCUUGGCACAUAGACUCUAAUAACGCGGUGGUUUGACUAUCUAAGGCCUCGUAAACUAUCUUGCAAAGUCUCCAUUUUUCUAUUCCGUGGUGGGGGCAUUGUGAGAGAAGAUUUUAAAACGGUCAAAGAAAUCCAAAAGACUCAUUUCCUUUUGAUGGAAUUGAUUUAUUUCAUUUGUAAUUCGAGUAGUCUUAUGAUUUGGAAAAUACUUUUUAAGAAACACCACAACGAACCCCUCCCACGUGGAAAUAGAAAGUUCUAGAAAGUUGGAGUCAAUCAUGAAGAUUCCAAGAAAAAUAGAAUUGAGUCCCGGAAAAACAUGAAAAUGCUUGAGAGCACUAUAAACACAUAGGAUAUGGCCUAUAGGAACGAAUUUCUACAUAGGAAAGGCUUGAAAAGCCGGAAAAAGACUCUCCCUAAAAAUUUCGGCAACAUGCUAAUGUGAUGUGCCUUAAUCUCGAAAUUAUUCCCAUUAACGGGAGGAAGGGUAAUGCAUGAUGGUUGAGCGGAACGGGAUGGGUAACAACGGUCUUUAAGAGACAAUGCCAUGUUUGAUAUCGAAUUGCUAGCUUCUAUGGGUUCGGAGUCCGAAGAAGACGAAGAAGAAGGAAUCUCGACUAUCGGUCCUACUAAUCUAGAUGAUUCGUUCCUAACCCAAGUAGUUCGCAUAAACGAUAAACAUGUAGAAAAUAAGUGCGAAAAAGUAAAACACACAAAAUAAAGGGUGUAAAAGAGAAAGAAAAACUUAAGUCUAGGUUUCCCUAAUAAAAUGAACUAGACCUUGCUCCUAACUUUAAGGACCACCAAAAACUCGGUAAAUCAAUUAUUAUUCGGACUGGUUUGGCCAGUUUGGAGCAAGCAUUGCCAAGAGGCCAAUCUCCGCGUUUAGACACCAAACCUUAAUCGGCCAGGUAAGCUUUCGUUUGUCCUUAGACACCGAAAAAUCGGAAUACGCGAAAUCCUAGGGGGCUAACGUCUAAUUCAAUUUUAUUAAAAGGCUAGGGAAAUGCAAAAUGUUGAAAUUAGUUGCUGUGGGCCAAGGAAAGAGUGAUGAAAUCCCUUCCCUUAUCUUGUGAUUGGGUUUUGCCCUUAAGAUUUAUUUAAAUGAUGCACCACACAACGAUAUAAUUAAAGAUAUAAACAAUUAUGGAUGCUUAAACUACGUGUCCUAAUCUAGAGAAAAGAAAGAAAUUAACGUACCUUGGGGUCCUCCAGCGAUCACCACAAUUAAAGGUACGAAAAUUUAAAAAACUUAAAAUCUAAAUGAUGUGUCCUAAGUGUAAAAAUGCAUGAUGCAACACAUAUGUAGUUCUAACUAAUAUUUUUGGAUUUUUUUUUUUGAUUUGUUUGUGUUUUUUCAAUUUUCAGAUUUGUUUGUGAUUUUCUAAAUAAAAACGAAAAAUAAGAGUGGAGAGAUACGGGCUACCAAAGCAAGCUUCAAAAUCCGAGCAAAAUUUGUCCACUUUACUCCAUUAUUCUCGAGUAUUCCUCCUCGAAAUAAAAACAAAAAUAGUGAGAAACAAACUAAUCCGAAAGAUUAAAAAUAAAGGAGCGAAAAAUUAAUUUUAAUCCCCGGCAGCGGCGCCAAAAACUUGAUGUGCUAGAAAUAUUACAUUUAUUAUCGCAAGCGCACGAUCACCGUUUUAAUAUUUAUGAUUCGAUCCACAGAGAUUAAAAUUAUUUUUGCAACCUAAAUUUUUAACCUAGGCGAAUUAGAACAAUUAAUAUGAAGUGGUGUUUUUACUUAAUUUUCUAAAAUUACGUUUAAAACUUUUAAAUUGAAAAUUAAACUAAUUAAUUCUUAAUUAACAAAACUAAUUACCAAGAUUAAAUAACGAAAUUUAACCUAUCAAAAAUAAACUACUCAGGACAUGACUUGGUGCCAAAACAAGCUACUGGCAAAGAAAAGCAUGUUAACUCGGAAAACGAUUUCACAAAACCAACGAACUCACAACUUGAGACAAAACCCAGGAACUAAAAAGCACACACAACAGACUGGUCAAGCAACCUUAAACAAAAUAACAGACUUAUCAACGUGACUCCAAAAUAAACAAACUCAUUGACUCAACAACACCAAAACGAGUCAAUACCAAAACUAACGGCAACUCGGAAAAUCGAACACACUCGAGCUAAAACGGAGAACAAAACAAUCAACAGGACUCGGCUAAUCGACUCAGACAAUGAACUCAUACAAACAGACUCGAAUGGAAACCCAGCAGCAAGACUCAAUACUGGACUCAAUUACUAAAAAGUCUAAAACAAAGAAACACAGCAACAACUCGCAGAAUGAAAGUAAAGAGAGAGGUGACUCGGUGGAGCUCGGCCUUGACUCAGUGCAGAAAAGACUCGGCAAAACUAAUUGCAGCAACAAAACAGGGGAAAAACGACGCAGAAACCAAACUACAACUGACCCUAGCAGAACUCAGUUAAAACUCGGAAAUCAUAAGACAAAACUCGGUGACUCGAUUUCUAUAGAACUCGCAGUGAACAAAAGAAAAUAGCAGCAAAACUCGGAAAAACCAGGACACCGAGCUGCUACUACAACUUAAACACAAGCUAUAAAGAAGAAAUCGAAGCAAUAAAAGCAGGGCUUAAGACUCGACAACACCACACUGACUCAGCCAUGGACUCGACUCAAACUCACGGCGGCAAACAGAAGCAUAAAACUCAGUAAAGAACUCGGGGACUUAAGAAAACAAUGAAAUCAAACGAACCCAAGAUAAGGCCAUCUGUACUCGAAAACUUUGACUCAAAACAAGCAAACUAGCGACUUACUAUGGAGCAGAACAGCAGACAAACCAACAAAAUCAGACAUUACGACUAAACUCAGUAAACAAGAAACGCAGACUCGUUCUAGCGACUCAGUUUCGCAACUCGUUACACAAUGAAAUCAACACGCAAAAUGGUUAAGAAAACAGAGCAGUUGGGUAUUAGACUGAAACAAGAAAAGGGUCUGGGUGUGUUGCUUUUUGAAUGAAACAGGGGAGAGGGUUUUAGAAGCAAAAGAGAUAAACAUGGUGCAUUUGAUUUUUUUAAUUAAAACAAAAACUGCUAACUCGCGUACAAAUAUUAAAAGUAUGACUGCUGGGAUUUAAAACUUACUGUCAAAAUAUACCAACUAAAUCGUAGUCUUUAAUUUUCAAAACAUUAAACCCCUCACACAAAUGAUUUUUGUGUUAGGAUUUAAAAGAGAUUUAACGACUAAUUUAAACAAUCAUUAAAUCUACACUAAUUAGAAGGCUUCUUCCAUUCCCAAAAGCCCUUAGGCAUAUGGUGGUACUAAGGAGAAUAUGCCACUUGGAGUAAGAAAAAUAAAGACAAUACAAGAUCAAGCUAAAAGAAAUUUGCACUAAAAUAAAAAGUGUUUACAAAUAUGGUAUGAAAUUGAGAGAACAAAAGAAGAUCUAGCACUAUACUACCUACCAACUAGGAAAAGACUAGGUUAAAAAGAUUGUCAUUACAAGUAAAGGAGGUGGGGGUAUUUAUAGCUAGAAAUGUAGGGUUUAGGGGUAGGGUGGCUAAAUCUAAUCCAUCCAUGUGUGAUGUGUGUUGGGUAAAUCAUAGCCCUCCAUGUGCCCCCUUGCUUGCCAACUCUCUUUGAUUUUCUUCUUUUCUUUUCUGU